GGCACAUAUUCGUUGUGUCCUUCGGGACUAUGGACAUAAACGCGCUCGUAAUAAGCGGAUCGGACCCGGGGGCGGUACCCGGCGACUCCACCAAAUCACCCAUCGUUGGGGUGCAUGGGGUCGAAACAGGAUCGACGGACGUCUAAAGGGGUAGCUUUGUCUCGGUGAGGUACCACCGAUAUCGGUCCGAAAAAGUACAAUUGCCAACGACAAUCGUGCUCCGGUCGCCCUUGCUGCGUAAGCAGUUCGGGAUACCGAAACUUAAGUCCUUGCGCCUAGCAGCGUAAGGCGGGGUUCGCAGGCACCUGGCAACAGAAGCCUGCACUUUCACC
rnacentral:tmRNA from 1 species